UCGGCUCCGGUUCACGCGCCCGCAUCCCGCGGAAGCGACCCGGCGCC
rfam:Streptomyces luteus strain TRM 45540 genomic scaffold Scaffold2, whole genome shotgun sequence.